rnacentral:rRNA from 1 species
UACGUAGGUGGCAAGCGUUAUCCGGAAUUAUUGGGCGUAAAGCGCGCGUAGGCGGUUCUUUAAGUCUGAUGUGAAAGCCCACGGCUCAACCGUGGAGGGUCAUUGGAAACUGGAAAACUUGAGUGCAGAAGAGGAAAGUGGAAUUCCAUGUGUAGCGGUGAAAUGCGCAGAGAUAUGGAGGAACACCAGUGGCGAAGGCGACUUUCUGGUCUGUAACUGACGCUGAUGUGCGAAAGCGUGGGGAUCAAGCAGGAUUAGAUA